rnacentral:tRNA from 1 species
GCGGCGGUAAUUCAGCGGUAGAAUGCCUGCUUGCCAAGCAGGAUGUCACGGGUUCAAAUCCCGUCCGCCGCUCCA